GGUCUGGGGAGGGUAAAGUGUGACCGCGAGACCAUACCCCUAUCUCGGAAGAUAGGGAGCAUCUCGAGAAAUUACCUAACAUAGUUUAGAACCUCAACUAUCUGAUCUGCCAAAUCAUCCACUAAUGAACAAGGUCCUCUGAAAAAUUGCCACAACUCCCAACCGCAAGGACUAUUGUGGAAAUCAGAGAGCACAACCUCGUGCCUCGGAGGACUUAUGUGGUAAAUGCAAAAGUUAUGGAGCAACAAUGAAGAUGCUUCCGAACAGAAGAACAAUCCUUGGAAACAUGAUAUAUCUGCAGAAGGCAUGUUUGAAAGCAAAACAUCUAAAGCC